rnacentral:rRNA from 1 species
GACGAACCGUACGAACGUUAUUCGGAAUCACUGGGCUUAAAGGGCGCGUAGGCGGGAUGGCAAGUCGGUCGUGAAAUCCUUCGGCUCAACCGAAGAACGUCGAUCGAUACUGCUGUUCUUGAGGGUUGCAGAGGAGACUGGAAUUCCCGGUGUAGCGGUGAAAUGUGUAGAGAUCGGGAGGAACACCGGUGGCGAAGGCGGGUCUCUGGGCAAUUCCUGACGCUGAGACGCGAAAGCGUGGGGAGCGAACAGG